CCUACGGGUGGCAGCAGUAGGGAAUUUUGCGCAAUGGGCGAAAGCCUGACGCAGCAACGCCGCGUGAUUGAUUAAGCCCUUCGGGGUGUAAAGAUCUGUCAGCAGGAAAGAAAAUGACGGUACCUGACUAAGAAGCCCCGGCUAACUACGUGCCAGCAGCCGCGGGAAUACGUAGGGGGCAAGCGUUAUCCGGAUUUACUGGGUGUAAAGGGAGCGUAGACGGCAGCGCAAGUCUGGAGUGAAAUGCCGGGGCCCAACCCCGGAACUGCUCUGGAAACUGUGAAGCUGGAGUGCAGGAGAGGUAAGCGGAAUUCCUGGUGUAGCGGUGAAAUGCGUAGAUAUCAGGAGGAACACCGGCGGCGAAGGCGGCUUACUGGACUGUAACUGACGUUGAGGCUCGAAGGCGUGGGGAGCAAACAGGAUUAGAUACCCCUGUAGUC
rnacentral:rRNA from 1 species